CCUACGGGUGGCAGCAGUGAGGAAUAUUGGUCAAUGGACGAGAGUCUGAACCAGCCAAGUAGCGUGAAGGAUGACUGCCCUAUGGGUUGUAAACUUCUUUUAUAUGGGAAUAAAAUGUUCCACGUGUGGGAUUUUGUAUGUACCAUAUGAAUAAGGAUCGGCUAACUCCGUGCCAGCAGCCGCGGUAAUACGGAGGAUCCGAGCGUUAUCCGGAUUUAUUGGGUUUAAAUGGAGCGUAGGUGGAUUGUUAAGUCAGUUGUGAAAGUUUGCGGCUCAACCGUAAAAUUGCAGUUGAAACUGGCAGUCGUGAGUACAGUAGAGGUGGGCGGAAGUCGUGGUGUAGCGGUGAAAUGCUUAGAUAUCACGAAGAACUCCGAUUGCGAAGGCAGCUCACUGGACUGCAACUGACACUGAGGCUCGAAAGUGUGGGUAUCAAACAGGAUUAGAUACCCCAGUAGUC
rnacentral:rRNA from 1 species